CGGACCGGCGCACGGGUGAGUAACGCGUAUGCAACUUACCUAUCAGAGGGGGAUAGCCCGGCGAAAGUCGGAUUAAUACCCCAUGAAACAGGGGUCCCGCAUGGGAAUAUUUGUUAAAGAUUCAUCGCUGAUAGAUAGGCAUGCGUUCCAUUAGGCAGCUGGCGGGGUAACGGCCCACCAAACCGACGAUGGAUAGGGGUUCUGAGAGGAAGGUCCCCCACAUUGGUACUGAGACACGGACCAA
rnacentral:rRNA from 1 species